rnacentral:rRNA from 1 species
AUUGAACGCUGGCGGCAGGCCUAACACAUGCAAGUCGAGCGGAUGAAGGGAGCUUGCUCCUGGAUUCAGCGGCGGACGGGUGAGAAAUGCCUAGGAAUCUGCCUGGUAGUGGGGGAUAACGUCCGGAAACGGGCGCUAAAACCGCAUACGUCCUGAGGGAGAAAGUGGGGGAUCUUCGGACCUCACGCUAUCAGAUGAGCCUAGGUCGGAUUAGCUAGUUGGUGGGGUAAAGGCCUACCAAGGCGACGAUCCGUAACUGGUCUGAGAGGAUGAUCAGUCACACUGGAACUGAGACACGGUCCAGACUCCUACGGGAGGCAGCAGUGGGGAAUAUUGGACAAUGGGCGAAAGCCUGAUCCAGCCAUGCCGCGUGUGUGAAGAAGGUCUUCGGAUUGUAAAGCACUUUAAGUUGGGAGGAAGGGCAGUAAGUUAAUACCUUGCUGUUUUGGCGUUACCAACAGAAUAAGCACCGGCUAACUUCGUG